rnacentral:RNase_P_RNA from 1 species
GGUCGUGCGACUGCAGGCGAAAGCGGCAGCGUAAGGAAAGUCCGGGCUUCACAGAGCGAGGAUAACGGAUAACGUCCGCCGAGGGUGACCUUAGGGAAAGUGCAACAGAAAAGUACCGCCGCGCCGCACGGCGCGGUAAGGAUGAAAAGGCGAGGUAAGAGCUCACCGACGAGAUGGAGACAUUUUGUGCCGUGUAAACCCUAUCCGAAGCAACGCCUUCGGGAUCGAAAGCGGUUUUGCUUUCGCUGUUGGCUCGACAGAAUUCCCGAUGGCGGCAAAGAGCUUUGCGGCAACGCAAAGACAAGAUAGAUGACCGUUCACGACAGAACCCGGCUUACGGCUCGAU